rnacentral:rRNA from 1 species
UACGUAGGUGACCAGCGUUGUCCGGAUUUACUGGGCGUAAAGCGCACGUAGGCGGCUUUGUAAGUUAGAGGUGAAAGCCCGGGGCUCAACUCCGGAACUGCCUUUAAGACUGCAUCGCUUGAAUCCAGGAGAGGUGAGUGGAAUUCCGAGUGUAGAGGUGAAAUUCGUAGAUAUUCGGAAGAACACCAGUGGCGAAGGCGGCUCACUGGACUGGUAUUGACGCUGAGGUGCGAAAGCGUGGGGAGCAAACAGG